rnacentral:rRNA from 1 species
AAUUGGAGGGCAAGUCUGGUGCCAGCAGCCGCGGUAAUUCCAGCUCCAAUAGCGUAUAUUAAAGUUGUUGCAGUUAAAAAGCUCGUAGUUGAAUUUCGGGGUUAGUAGGUUGGUCAUGCCUCUGGUAUGUACUGAUCUCACUGAUUCCUCCUUCCUUAUGAACCGUAAUGCCAUUAAUUUGGUGUUGCGGGGAAUUUGGACUGUUACUUUGAAAAAAUUAGAGUGUUUAAAGCAGGCUAACGCUUGAAUACAUUAGCAUGGAAUAAUGAAAUAGGACGUUCGAUCUUAUUUUGUCGGUUUCUAGGAUUGACGUAAUGAUUAAUAGGGAUAGUUGGGGGCAUUAGUAUUCAAUUGUCAGAGGUGAAAUUCUUGGAUUUAUUGAAGACUAACUACUGCGAAAGCAUUUGCCAAGGAUGUUUUCAUUAAUCAAGAACGAAAGUUAGGGGAUCGAAGACGAUCAGAUACCGUCGUAGUCUUAACCAUAAACUAUGCCGACUAGGGAUCGGAUGAUGUUAAUUUUUUAAUGACUCAUUCGGCGCCUUACGGGAAACCAAAGUGU